GCUUCCAACAGUUUUAACUGCCUUCCUGUCAUGCAGAGAGCUCCAGAGUAAAACUUUAAUGAGUCAACACCCUGGCUGGGAUGGGCUUUCAGUCAUCCAGGUGCUUUUGGCUAGUCCAUGUUUCUGCACACAGCUCCUUUUCCCAUUUCCUUUACAGGUGAUGUGAUGCCCUCAUCUGACAUCUCUGUGGGCACUGCAUACAUAUGCCUCACAUCUAUCUAUACAGUCAAAACAAGUUGACAGGUAAAAUAAAGGGUACAAAGUACAGUUAUACCUCAAGGUCUUCUCACAGCUGCACGGGAGAGGAAGAGCUACACUGUCCUAACAGGCUGGAUUGUCCACUCUGCCAUGCAUAGGUACAGGACACAUGGCUUGAUGUAAGGAAGAGGAAGCAGGUACAGCUGCUAUCUCACAGGAAAAAACACUGAGAUGGAUGACACCCCACCCCAGGAACUGUAUAAUGUUCAGAUACAAGUGUACCACAAAGAUUUAAUGAAUUACCUGGUCUUGCUUCUAUAACUGUACUUGCUGGCCAUAUUUUCACCCCACGGUUUUGUCCUACUAAGAGAUCCUGAGAAAGAAUCAGAGAAGUCCUUAUGAAACCUGUCAUAGAGAAAUACAGCCAUCCAUUCAGCUCUGUCAUGUACAUGAAGAAAGCUUGCUUCAAUUUGACCAUGAUUUGGAAAAGUGGUCUUUCUCCUUGCAUCUGCAGGACUCAGAGUGUCCUCAUGUGGUAAGAGCCACAUGUUGCUUUAAGGUCAGGAGGUUAAGUCAAAUGGAAGGAGAAACAUGGGGAGAAGACAGAAGAAAGGUAAAUUUGCUUUAUAUCAAACUGAUAUGAAGCCGCACUGACUCAAGAAUGCAAGUCCUUUGUUGGUCCUGUGGUUUUUUUGUGUGUGUGUUUGUGUGUGUGUGUGUGUGUGUGUGU